rnacentral:lncRNA from 1 species
CCUUUGUCUCUCAGCUCAGUGUGAGCAGUGCACAGUGCCCUGCUAUAAAGCAAACUGUGUAAGAAAGAUGGGCUUUGAUGUUCAUAAAACAUUGUUAUUUUCUUCCUAGGCUCGAGGGAAAAAGCGCCAGAUAGGGUGGUUUCCAGCAAAUUAUGUCAAACUUCUAAGCCCCGGAACAAGCAAAAUCACCCCAACUGAGCUACCCAAGACCGCAGUGCAGCCAGCAGGUAAGAUGCUCGCAGGCCGUCUGCUCGCGCUCGCUCGGGUCUCUCAUCUAAAGUCUUGUACUGUUUUCACACAUGCUCGUUAGCACUUCUACUUGCUGUCUGUGGCCUCUCUUUGCUGAGCACCACAGAGCCCUCACUGGACUCUGCUGGAGCAGUUGGAAAUGCGUGGCAUUAAAGCCAAGUUUUUCUCUUGACUUCCUUCUAGCUAUUUAUAUUGGGAUUUGGACCAUUGGGUUAGGCAACAGAAAGGGUCUUAAAAAUAAACUUGCUGGGCUCUCAGUAGGUCAAGAGUGAGAGCCGUGGGGGUCUGCUGAUCAUAAUAGUUCUGUGUCAGUUGCUGGGGACAGAGGGGCUCACUGAGCAGGCAGGAUGUUCUGUGUUUUCCUGAGGGUGGGCAAAGGCAGAGCCUGCCAUUGCCUGGCUUGCCUGCUUUCUCAGCUAAGGCAGAGAGUCAGCUGUUCCACUGGCCUGGACAGAGCUCAGGGUAGGAGCAGAGUUCUGGUUUAGUUCUUUAGGCCUCUGUACUCAGUGACAUCUGUGGAGAGCAUGAAGCUUUUGUUCCACCAUCAUCGUGUGAUUGGAUGUGUGUUGUGUACCCCUGUGAAACCAGCUCUAAACUUGCUGUCCCUGCAAGAAACGUCAGGACCUAUGAAUGUGACCGACCUCUGACCCCCAGCUGGUCCUCUUUGCAUGAGCUGAGGCCUUGUGUAGGCUGAGGAGAUGUAGCAGAGCCCUCUCCUGUCAGCCCAUAAGCCCCUCACGAUGGUGGACGCCCCGAGCCAUGUGUGGAAGUGAGUCUGUUCCCUUAGCUGGAGAGUUUGAGAACCUUGAAGCUGCAUACAGGUUGGUAAACAAUGAUAAGACGCCAGGCAGUAAGGGUGGGUCAACCAGUCGUGCAGUCGAAAGAAAAGGAGAAAAGGAAAAUUGAGUGUAGUCCUCUCUGAGACAGGAGGACAGAGAGUCACCUCUUACAGCGCUGGCUUAACUUCCCCCUGAGGCAGGAGCAUGAGAAGAUCAGGUGACAGCUGCACACCAUCUAUAGAAGGGCCAGGUCCAGGGCUGCACGCUCAGUGCCACAGCACACUUGUAUAGUGUACCGGCCCUGGGCUCAGUCUUCACC